UCUCGCGACCUCACCCUGGUUGUGGGAACGCAAGCGCCCUACGUCAUCAUUGGGCGCCGCCGCCCCUGCCCCUAUUUCGCGGGAGAUCUUGUUGGCGCGAAUGGAGUCCGAAUCUCGCUAACGGCUUCCCUCCGCUGCGGGCCUGUCUCCCUGCCUCCGUGUCCCCUGCUGCCUGCUCCCGGACAGUCAUGGAUAUCCGGAAAUUCUUUGGGGUCGUUCCAAGUGGAAAGAAACAUGUUAAUGAGACAGUGAAAAAGAAUGAGAAUACAAAAACUGUUGAAGGACCAUUAAAAGCAAAAAAAGGAACAAAGGAGAUCAAGGUGAAAAAUUCUUCCAAAGAAGAUGAUGUAAAACAAAAGCGUGCAAACAAGAAAAAGAGAAUUAUCUAUGAUUCAGACUCGGAGCCAGAGGAGACAGUACAGGUUAAAAAUGUUCAAAACCAAUCAGAGAAAUUGCCGAUGUCUUCCAAACCUCAGAAAAUUCCAAGGCAAGAUCCUGUUACAUAUGUUUCAGAAACAGAUGAAGAAGAUGAAUUUAUUAAUAAGAAAUCUCAUAAGCCAAAAGAAAAUGGAUUAUCUUCAAGUAGUCACACUGGAAUAUCAAAUGUGAAGAGAGAUAGUGGAAAAAAACCUCCAAUUAAGAAUAAGCCUUUAUCACCUAUCAAACUUACACCCACAUCAGUGCUUGAUUACUUUGGAACUGGAAGUGUUCAAAGAUCAGGGAAGAAGCUAGUUGCAAGCAAAAGAAGAGAACCUUCACAAAAUACAAAUGAUUCCAGAUUAACUGAUGAAGCUAUUGCUGAGCAACUACAAAUUGAAGAGAAUUCAGAGCUUGAGAGGCAACUGCAUGAGGAUGAGGAAUUUGCCAGAACACUGGCAAUGUUGGAUGAAGAACCCAAGAAUAAAAAGGCCCGAAGGAAUUCAGAAGAGAGAGAGACAUUUUCAACUGACCGAAUUACUUCAAGCAAAUCAGAAAAACAUAAAGUAAAAACAUCAAAUUUAUCAUAUGAGAGCAAGAACUACAAUUUGAACAAGCAAACUAAAAGUGAAGAUUCAAGAGGUUCUCAACCACAUUCAAAGUCAUCACCUCAUAAAGUACCUCACAAAACAGAGGAAGAACCCUCAGCGUUGAAAGUUAGCUCUAAGCUGGCACUCUUGAAAAAAAGAGAAGAGAGUAGUAACAAAAAAGAGGAAUCCACAGAGUCCAGAAAAAAAGAAAAUGAAGUUGUACUUAAAGAAGAGAGAAAAUCUCCUAAGAAAAAUAAAAAUUCUCCAUCCAAGACAGAGUCUGUAAGUCCUGAAGAUACUGAAAAAAAACGUACUAAUUACCAGGCUUAUCGAAGCUACCUGAAUCGAGAGGGUCCCAAAGCUCUAGGCUCUAAGGAGAUCCCAAAAGGAGCUGAAAAUUGCCUGGAAGGUCUAACAUUUGUAAUCACAGGAGUCCUAGAAUCUAUUGAACGAGAUGAAGCCAAGUCUCUAAUUGAGCGGUAUGGGGGAAAAGUAACUGGAAAUGUCAGCAAAAAAACAAGUUACCUUGUUAUGGGACGUGAUAGUGGGCAAUCCAAAAGUGAUAAGGCUUUGGCUUUGGGAACAAAAAUUAUUGAUGAAGAUGGCCUAUUGGAUCUCAUUCGAACUUUGCCUGGCAAGAAGUCCAAAUAUGAAAUAGCAGUUGAAGCUGAGGUAAGGAAGGAAAAAUCAAAAUUGGAGAAAACACCACAAAAAACUGAUCAAGGAAAAAGAAAAACUAGCCCAAAUAAGAAGGACUCUGAAUCUAAAAGGAACAAAUUAACACCCCCAAAAGUCAGUUCUAUGAACUCAUUCAAAACAGAAACCAGUGAAUUUCAAAAGGGCCUGGACUUCAAGCAUGUGGUUGGAGAGAAGAAUGUCUUAAAACCAGAGAAAUAUAUUGCCGACCAAAGCAAAGACAAAGCUGAGGUUUUGCUUUGGGUGGAUAAAUAUAAGCCUACCUCUCUUAAGGCCAUAAUUGGACAGCAAGGUGACCAGAGUUGUGCUAACAAACUCUUACGAUGGCUCCGCAACUGGCCCAAGAACAUGUCUGAAGAUAAGAAACAUGUUAAAGUUAAUAAAUUUGGUGGCAAAGAUGAUGGUUCCAGUUUUAAAGCAGCCCUGCUCUCUGGUCCACCAGGAGUUGGCAAAACCACCACUGCUUCUCUGGUGUGUGAGGAAUUGGGUUAUAGUUAUGUGGAACUGAAUGCAAGUGACACCCGGAGCAAAAGCAGUUUGAAAGAAAUUGUUGCUGAGUCACUGAAUAACACUAGCAUCAAAGACUUCUGUUCAAGUGCAGCUCAUUCAGGAGGCACAAAACAUGUUCUGAUAAUGGAUGAAGUAGAUGGAAUGGCAGGCACUGAAGAUAGAGGAGGAAUUCAGGAACUAAUUGGCCUGAUCAAACACACAAAAAUACCCAUUAUUUGUAUGUGUAAUGAUCGAAACCAUCCAAAGAUGCGUUCCUUAGUCCAUUAUUGUUUUGAUCUUCGGUUUCAAAGACCUCGGAUUGAACAGAUUAAGGGUGCUAUGAUGUCUGUUGCAUUUAAAGAGGGUUUAAAGAUCCCUCCUCCAGCUAUGAAUGAAAUUAUUUUGGCAGCAAAUCAUGAUAUUCGACAGGUUUUACACAAUCUUAGCAUGUGGUGUGCAGAAAAUAAAGCCCUAACCUAUGACCAAGCUAAAACUGAUUCCAGCAGGGCUAAAAAAGAUAUCAAACUGGGCCCAUUUGAUGUUGCCCGGAAAGUGUUUACUGCUGGGGAAGAGACUGCUCAUAUGUCGCUUGUGGACAAAUCUGAUCUCUUCUUCCAUGAUUACUCCAUAGCACCUCUUUUUGUCCAGGAAAAUUACUUACAUGUAAAACCUGCUGCUGCAGGAGGGGAUAUGAAAAAACACUUGAUGCUUUUGAGCAGAGCAGCAGAUAGUAUAUGUGAUGGUGACUUAGUGGAUCGACAGAUUCGGAGUAGGCAAAACUGGAGCCUUCUGCCAACACAGGCCAUUUAUUCUAGUGUUCUUCCUGGAGAGUUGAUGAGAGGUUACAUGACUCAGUUUCCUUCUUUCCCAAGUUGGUUAGGAAAAUUCUCAUCUACAGGCAAACAUGAUCGCAUUGUUCAAGAAUUAGCAUUACACAUGAGUCUUGAAACUCACUCCAGCAAAAGAACUGUCAACCUGGAUUACCUCUCACACAUGCGGGAUGCACUUAUUCUUCCUUUGACAAUGCGUGGAACAGAAGGUGUACAGAAUGUUGUUGAACUCAUGGAUACAUAUCAUCUCAUGAGAGAAGACUUUGAAAAUAUCAUGGAAAUAAGUAUUUGGGGAGGCAAACCGAGUUCCUUUUCUAAAUUGGAUCCCAAGGUGAAGGCAGCCUUCACGCGAGGCUACAAUAAAGAGGUGCACCUCACACCAUAUUCAAUUCAGAUAACAAAGAUGUCUAAACAAAUUGGAAUCCCUUCUUUGAGUUCAGAUUAUAAUGAUGAGUUAAAUGAAGAAGAAUCCCAGUCUGAUGAAAAGGACCAAGAUGGUAUUGAAACUGAUGCGAUGAUCAAGGAGGUGAUAAGAGUCCAGCAAGACUAUGGACAAGAAAAGGGACAUUAGAAAAAACUUAGUGACAAAACUUAGGACAAGGAAUUGAUGAUCAAAGAGUGCUGAAAGAUUUGGCUCCAUUUGGCUGUGAUAGUGAAGCCAUGCUGAAUAGAAAAGGAAGAACAAAGAAGGGAGAGGGCCAUUGUUUUUGAUUGGUAGGAUGAAGAAAAGUGAAGACUGAAAGAAGACUCCUUUCCAACUUCUUCAAGCAAGAUGCAAAACUCUAAGUUUUCCAAGGCUGAUCAGCAGCAAAGCCAAGAGCAACCAACUUCCAAGUCUCUUUCCCAGAAGUGGUUGUUGGUUUUUCAACUGACACUCCUACGGCACCCUACAAAAUUCUUUUCCUCUGACAUCAUCAAGGUUCUAUGAAAAUUCUUAAAGCAGCCUAGAAAGUUUCAGAUUCCUUUUAUAUAUCUUAUAUUUGACUAUAUUCUUUAACUAUGCUAAUUAUACUUUUAUUACUAUUAUUAUUACAGUUAGGAAUUAUGAAAAUUAGGUUUAUGAUGUCCCAAAGAACAAUUAAUGACAAUUUGUGUGUAUUGUGAUGAAGCUAUCAGGGUACCUCAUAUGCUUAUCAAUAAGCUCAAACAUUUUUCAUCCUCAAGUCAACUUUCAAUGCUCAGUAUACAAUGCUUUAUUAAGGUAAUACUAGUACAUUUGUCAGAGGUGAUUGUUAUAACCAGUUUUAGACUUACCAUCCUCUCCAAGGGCAUAAAACCAUGCUCGAUUGUUCAUUCCCACAGCCAGAUGAUAAAGGCCUAUAGCUAGGAAGUUAGGUUCCACUUCAACAGAAACAGUAAUGGGUAGCUCCUGUAAGAAAAGUAGUCCUUGUAAGAAAGCUUCUAUAAUUACUUUAAGUUUGUUUAUAAAUAAAUUUUUUUAAACAUUA